CAUACAUUUUCUGAAAUCUAGGUGGAGGUUCCCAAACCCCAAUUCUUGACUUCUGUGUACUCUCAGGCUCAACACCACAUAGAAGCUGCCAAGGCUUGGGGCUUGCACCCCAUGAAGCCAUGGCCUGAGCUCUACAUUGGCCCCUUUCAGCCAUGGCUGUAGCGGCUGGGAUGCAGGGCACCAAGUCCCUAGGCUGCACACAGCGUGGGGACCCUGGGUCCGUCCCAUGAAACCAUUUUCUCCUAGAUUUCUGCAGCCAUCUUGUAUUUUUCCUCAGAAAAUGGGCUUUUCUUUUCUAUUACAUUGUCAGGCUGCAUAUUUUCUGAACUUUUAUGCUUGGCUUCCCUUAUAAAAUUGAAUGCCUUUAAUGUCACCCAAGUCACAUCUAGAAUGCUUUGCUCCUUAGAAAUUUCUUCCACUAGAUACCCUAGAUCAUCUAUGUCAAGUUCAAAGUUCCACAAAUCUCUA
rnacentral:lncRNA from 1 species